AUUCUUAUUUCUUUACUUUUUCUCUUCACAGCUUGCCGGAUCCAUCCAAAAUAUUCAACAUUCAAUUUCCAACGGUCUGCUUUGAUCAAGACUAAAAAAUUAAAAAUUUAAAUUCCCGCUCAUGAAACCCUAUAUCAAUAUUUUUCACCUAUAAAUACAUCCUAAAGUCUCAGCCGUAGGAGAGGGGGAAAUCGAAAGAAAUCCUAUCCACGCAUUUAAUUUUUGUACUCUAUUUCUCUCUCAAGCUUCAAUUCGAAAUCCAAAGAGUAGAUCUGAAGCGAGCUUUUAGCCCUUGUUCAUUGCCCCACAAAAGGUCAGUUCUCCCCAAACUAUUGUCUAUUCUAUUUUUUGCCUAUUGUUGUUAAUGGGAUAUGUGUUUUAUUUUUGUUCAAUCAGAAAUCAUGACUUAUGAUUUAUUUUUUUAUAAUAAUCGUUGUCUUUAAGGAAAGAAUCUUCUGGUAUUCUUAAAUGUUCAUUUGGGUUUAAGUACUGUUGAAUAUGGUUUAGUUAAGUAUGUGUAGAAGUUUACUCGAAACCAUAUCUUUAGGUAUGCCUUACUAUUUUUGUCUGGCAAACUUGUUCACAUUGAAGAAUCGUGACCGUAAGGUUUUAUUUCUAUAGCAUAGGAUAUUGAUUUUUAAGAGAUUCAAUUGAUAGGUUUAUCGAAAAUGUUGCGGAUAAGUGCUGAUUUUGUAAGAAGAAAGCUAUUGAUUUAGGUAUGGAAAUAAUAUUAAAAUAUUAUAUUUAGAGCUUUCUUGAUUUUUAUAGUCAUACCAAAAACAUUUAAGAUUUACUUAAAUUAUUUUGUUAGAGUUUUUGUGAUAAUACGUUGUAUUUUUCAGAUAUUAGACGACCUUGUCUUACCUAUUUACAUAAUAGAAUAAGUUGGGUUGAAUCUCAUACUUUGGAUGUUACUUAAAUACAUAAUGUAAUUGUUUAAUUUUUGUACGAGAACAUCACUUAAGAACCUUUCAAAUUGGUAAAGUUAGCAACUUUAUGUGCCUUAGUAGAAUACUGGUUUUUAGCAUAAGUUCAUGAUUUAUGUACUCUUUCUGUAACUUUAGCUUCCUUCUUUAUUUUCCUGAAGUGUUUAAUAUUCAGAUCUUCUUUCUUUUUCUCUCCUAUUUCGCUCUUUGUUUUGCAUGGAAAUACCGGAGCUGAAGAGUUUAACUUUAAGACUCGAUGCUGCCAUGGAAAUAUAUGGAGUCUAUACAUCCUCACCUUUUCCGGUUUUGCGUUACCUUGACAACAAUAAAUACAUAACAAAAAAUCUUUUAGGGAACUGAACAUGGCUCUUUACAACUUCAUUUUACUUCAUUGAUUGUUAAGAUUCAUUUAGCAAAUAAGGGUUGCUCUGAUGGUAAGCAACCCCCACUUCCAAUCGAGAGGUUGUGAGUUCGAGUCUCCCCAAGAGCAAGGUGAGAAGUUCUUGGACCGAAGGAUGCCGGGGGGUCUAUUUGGAAACAGGUUCUCUACUAUGUGGGAUUAUACUGGGUUGUUGUUGUUGAUUGUUAAGAUCUAAAGUUACUACACAAUCAUAGCCGUGUCUUAUUUAUAACGAAAAUACUUAUUAUCACAUAGGUAAUUAUAUGGCUCUUUAGAAUCUUGAUAUGUAUUAGAUACCAGUUGUUAAAACCAUUAAGGUAAUAUUAGCUUUUAAAUUUCAUCUAACAAUAUUUCUAACGUACGGUGGCUGCUAUCUAUGUUUUCC
rnacentral:lncRNA from 1 species